rnacentral:rRNA from 1 species
GACGUAGGGUCCAAGCGUUGUCCGGAUUCACUGGGUUUAAAGGGUGCGUAGGCGGGCAGGUAAGUCAGUGGUGAAAUCUUUGGGCUUAACCCGAAAACUGCCAUUGAUACUAUCUGUCUUGAAUAUUGUGGAGGUUUGCGGAAUAUGUCAUGUAGCGGUGAAAUGCUUAGAUAUGACAUAGAACACCUAUUGCGAAGGCAGCAAACUACGCAUAUAUUGACGCUGAGGCACGAAAGCGUGGGGAUCAAACAGG